rnacentral:hammerhead_ribozyme from 1 species
GCACUGCUGAGGAGUCCGACAACAGAACGAAACGGCCGUCCAAUGC